ACCCCAACCUGUGACGGUGUGGUGUGCAGUGUUAAAAUCCGCUGAUUAGGGUUCCGGCAGUGGGAUUCUCGAGCAGAUUGGUGGCAGACGAGCAUCCGGCUGUAGAUGGUGGUUUUCUGGUAGAUCUAAGUUUUAAACCCCCAGCCGCUCCUUUUCGUUCUCUCUCAAAGAUUCAGUCCAGAUCUGCCCUCACUUCGCGAUUCACCAUAAGCUAAGAGGAGACAUGAUAGAGGAGAAAGGGAGCCGACAAAGCCCUAGCUGUUGCAUCAGGCGGAGAUGAGUACUGGAGACCAACUUAGCGUUGUUGUGCCUCAGGAGCCUUAAUUUCAGUGCAAAUUAUACGAUUUCAAUACUCAUUUAGUUAAUUUAUUAUGUGAUUCUGCUUUUCCUCAAGAUCUGUUGCGAUUUACUCACACCGAAAUAUGAAUUUUGUGUUUUGUUUUUGGUAGUUAAAUUGAAGAAGUAGAUAUCAUGUUCCAUGCACUGAUGAACGAGAUAAACAUUAAUCUUGUGGCGUAUAAGACAAAAAGGAAGAACUACUAUGGAUGCCGACAAGAACCAUAUUACCAAAGACCAGUGCUUGGCGAGUGAGAAAAGACUCACAAGCGUUGUAUAGUCGUUUGGCUAAAGAAACAUGGAAAUCGUUUUGAGAUUGCUUGUUACAAGAACACGGUCCUCUCAUGGUGUCCUGGCGUUUGGUGGAGGAAACAGGCACAGAAGAUCAACAUUUGCGAAAUUUAAUCAGCGUUUCAGACGCAACUUCCUGAAAGGCCUGUUACGGUAGCAACGGACGAUUCUGUUUGAUCUGCGCUUUAUGGGAACACAUUGAAAUGAAUUAAGCAGGUUUGUAGUAGACAGUAGUGACAAUGAAGGCAAAUGGGAAGUCUGGUGAAGACCAGACCCAACUGGAAGAACUGCGUCGGUACUGUUGUGGAUUUUAUAUCUGUUUUUCUUUCUCUAUUUCUUAUUUAUACAGAAGUAGUGACGUUUACGUGCCAAGGGAUGAAGCCUUUUCUGAGAUGAAGAACCUAACGUUUAACGCCAAGACUGUAUUUUUAGUGCUGAAGGAAGUGUUACUUUCGGCCGAAACGUCAAUGAUUGACCAAGAUCUUGGGUUCCUGUACCUCACAAUGGUAGUUUACGGUCGGUCGAAACGUCAAUGGUAGUUUACGAACGGUAGAUGAUAAUGAUGAUGUAAGCAGAGGGCAGUAUUGUCAACUUGAUGAGGUUGAAAAUGGUGGAAAUAUUGUUCCUGAGAGCUUUGAAGAGCAGAUGAUGCUAGCGAUGGCGGUUUCAUUGGCCGAGGCUCGAACUAGGAUUAGCAGUACGCAAGAGGUCGCGUGGAUUUAGUGUGUGUUUUAAGGUGUAUUAUUUGUGUGUUGGUAUACAGUGAUGUAAAACAGAAAAAUAUGGAAGUGUAGAUUUGUGGGUAGAGGUUUGAGUCAUGAAUGCAUGCAUACAGUCAAUCAACCCCUUUGAAGAUUUUAAAGUCUUGUAUGAUUGUUGUUUAUGGGAGAAUUCAGAUUUGUUGUUUGGCCAUAAAAGCACAUGCUUUUGUUCAUCAAAAUUGUUUUUUUUGUUUCUGUUUA
rnacentral:lncRNA from 1 species